CCUACGGGAGGCAGCAGUUAGGAAUUUUGGGCAAUGGGGGGAACCCUGACCCAGCAACGCCGCGUGGGUGACGAAGGCCUUCGGGUCGUAAAGCCCUUUUCCGGGGGACGAUGGUGACGGUACCUCGGGAAUCAGCCCCGGCUAACUACGUGCCAGCAGCCGCGGUAAUACGUAGGGGGCGAGCGUUGUCCGGAUUCAUUGGGCGUAAAGCGCUCGCAGGCGGUCGAUCGCGUCGCGCGUGAAGGCCCCCGGCUCAACCGGGGGUGGUCGCGGGAUACGGGUCGACUGGAGGUAGGUAGGGGGACGCGGAAUUCCCGGUGUAGUGGUGGAAUGCGUAGAGAUCGGGAGGAACACCGGCGGCGAAGGCGGCGUCCUGGACCUGGCCUGACGCUCAGGAGCGAAAGCGUGGGGAGCGAUCCGGAUUAGAUACCCUAGUAGUC
rnacentral:rRNA from 1 species